rnacentral:rRNA from 1 species
CACGAACGCUGGCGGCAGGCUUAACACAUGCAAGUCGAGCGCCCCGCAAGGGAAGCGGCAGACGGGUGAGUAACGCGUGGGAAUCUACCCAUCUCUACGGAAUAACGCAUGGAAACGUGUGCUAAUACCGUAUACGUCCUUCGGGAGAAAGAUUUAUCGGAGAUGGAUGAGCCCGCGUUGGAUUAGCUAGUUGGUGGGGUAAAGGCCUACCAAGGCGACGAUCCAUAGUUGGUCUGAGAGGAUGAUCAGCCACACUGGGACUGAGACACGGCCCAGACUCCUACGGGAGGCAGCAGUGGGGAAUAUUGGACAAUGGGCGCAAGCCUGAUCCAGCCAUGCCGCGUGAGUGAUGAAGGCCCUAGGGUUGUAAAGCUCUUUCACCGGUGAAGAUAAUGACGGUAACCGGAGAAGAAGCCCCGGCUAACUUCGUGCCAGCCGCCGCCGUAAGAC